rnacentral:misc_RNA from 1 species
AAUUCUCAAUCCCUUCAAUCUUGUGUUGUUUGGUGAUUGGAUUAUGGGGGUUUGCUGGCCUUGUUCAGCUCCCCUUAAAAGGAUUAGCAGGACAUUAUGCCAUCUGUGCUUUGUAUGAUAUUUAUCUAUACACUGUACUUAUUGUGCACAACUGCUUCUAACUGUCACUUCUGACAUUUGACCA